rnacentral:rRNA from 1 species
CGCAUUUUUCGUUUAGUAUGGUGAAUGUGAUAAUGUAAGGGAAAAAUUUGAUGUUACUUUACUAUUAGUGUUGUCCAAACUGGUGCCAGAAGACUCGGUAAUGCCAGAGACGCAAACGUUAGUCGCAUUAACCAGGCGUAAAGGGUGUGUAGGCAGCUUAAAAGUUAUAUUUUUAAAAUAGCUAUUUCAAAUAUUAUAUUAAUAUAUUGAUUUUUAAAAAUUUAAUAAAUUUAAGAUAGAAUCUUAUUGAGGAUAAGCCGAAUAAUGCUUAGAGUAGGGAUAAAAUCCUAAAAUACUAAGUGGAAUACUAAUGGUGAAAGCUUUUUAUCUAAUAAUGAUCGACGCUGAGAAACGAAGGUGAGAAUAGAAAAUAGGAUUAGAGACCCAGAUAUCUCUCACUGUCAACGAUGAAUGGUGGAUUGUUAGUUCUAAGAACUAGUACCGAUGUUAACGCGAUACCAUUCCGCCUUGAGAGUACGGUUG